UACAGAGGUGGCAAGCGUUGUUCGGAAUUACUGGGCGUAAAGGGCGCGUAGGCGGUCUUGUAAGUCUCGUGUGAAAUCCCUCGGCUUAACUGAGGAACUGCACGGGAUACUGCUUGACUUGAGUUCGGGAGAGGGAAGCGGAAUUCCGGGUGUAGCGGUGAAAUGCGUAGAUAUCCGGAGGAACACCGGUGGCGAAGGCGGCUUCCUGGACCGACACUGACGCUGAGGCGCGAAAGCUAGGGGAGCAAACAGG
rnacentral:rRNA from 1 species